AGAGUUUGAUCCUGGCUCAGGACGAACGCUGGCGGCAGGCCUAACACAUGCAAGUCGAACGCUCUCUUCGGAGGGAGUGGCAGACGGGUGAGUAACACGUGGGAAUCUACCCAGUACUACGGAAUAACCCAGGGAAACUUGAGCUAAUACCGUAUACGCCCUCCGGGGGAAAGAUUUAUCGGUAUUGGAUGAGCCCGCGUUUGAUUAGCUAGUUGGUGAGGUAAUGGCUCACCAAGGCGACGAUCAAUAGCUGGUCUGAGAGGAUGAUCAGCCACACUGGGACUGAGACACGGCCCAGACUCCUACGGGAGGCAGCAGUGGGGAAUAUUGGACAAUGGGCGCAAGCCUGAUCCAGCCAUGCCGCGUGAGUGAUGACGGCCUUAGGGUUGUAAAGCUCUUUCAACGGUGAAGAUAAUGACGGUUACCGUAGAAGAAGCCCCGGCUAACUUCGUGGCAGCAGCCGCGGUAAUACGAAGGGGGCUAGCGUUGUUCGGAAUAACUGGGCGUAAAGCGCACGUAGGCGGAUUGUUAAGUUAGGGGUGAAAUCCCGGGGCUCAACCCCGGAACUGCCUUUGAUACUGGCAAUCUAGAGUUCGAGAGAGGUGAGUGGAAUUCCGAGUGUAGAGGUGAAAUUCGUAGAUAUUCGGAGGAACACCAGUGGCGAAGGCGGCUCACUGGCUCGAUACUGACGCUGAGGUGCGAAAGCGUGGGGAGCAAACAGGAUUAGGUACCCUGGUAGUCCACGCCGUAAACGUUGGGCACUAGGUGUGGCGGACUCAUCAACGUUCGCCGUGCCGGAAGCUAACGCAUUAAGUGCCCCGCCUGGGGGAGUACGGCCGCAAGGCUUAAACUCAAAGGAAUUGACGGGUCCCCCCC
rnacentral:rRNA from 1 species